rnacentral:rRNA from 1 species
UUCAUCAUUAGUAUAUAUAGUUCGCUUCUCAUGUCGUAGCAGUCAAACGGGCGGGCGUCUUAAUUGGCGCGUCACGAGGCUUAAUAUGCUGCGGCAGGGAAAACUUGGGCGACCGCUGUAAUACUUCUCUCUUAAACCAGAGGAAGAUUGCGGCAAUAACAGGUCUGUGAUGCCCUCAGAUGUCCCGGGCCGCACACGUGCUACAUUGAUUAGCGCAGUGCGCAUACUUACAUAUAGAUCAUUGAUUGGUUAUUUAUAACCGUCAAUAUCGCCUUGUCUGAAAGGACUAGGUAAUCUAUUGUAAGUGCUGGUUCCUCCUCCCGUUGAGCAUUUUAAUAAUGGUCUCUCUACAUCCCUAGCACAUGAUGUCUAGUGCGAUUGUAGUUGAGUCUUGCCAUUUAUGCAAGUGUCAAUUCUCAGUGGGGACAGCCAUUUGAUAAUUCUUUGGCUCGGCCUCAACUAGGAAUGCCUUGUACGGGUCUUGGUUCAACAGACCACCCGGAAUACGUCCCUGCCCUUUGUACACAMCCGCCCGUCGCUCUUACCGAUGAAUUGUACUGUGAGUUUGCAGGACCGAACCCAUUUUUGGGUUUGGAAAUGCAGUC